UAAUUUCGGGGUAGCAAUACUUCGGAGUUGGAGUGGCGAAAGGGUGCGUAACAUGUGGGUAAUCUGCCGUGAAGUUCGGGAUAACUUGCUGAAAGGCGAGCUAAUACCGGAUGUAAUCGCUGGGGGGUAUCUCUUGGUGAUUAAAGUUGGGGACCGCAAGGCCUGACGCUUCAUGAUGAGCCCGCAUCCUAUCAGCUAGUUGGUGAGGUAACGGCUCACCAAGGCUAAGACGGGUAGCUGGUCUGAGAGGACGACCAGCCACACUGGAACUGAGACACGGUCCAGACACCUACGGGUGGCAGCAGUCGAGAAUUUUUCACAAUGGGCGAAAGCCUGAUGGAGCGACGCCGCGUGGGGGAUGAAGGGCUUCGGUCCGUAAACCCCUGUCAUUUGCGAACAAACCUUUCCACCUAACACGUGGAGAGCUGAUUGUAGCGAAAGAGGAAGGGACGGCUAACUCUGUGCCAGCAGCCGCGGUAAUACAGAGGUCCCAAGCGUUGUUCGGAUUUACUGGGCGUAAAGGGUGCGUAGGUGGCGAGGUAAGUUUGAUGUGAAAUCUCCGAGCUCAACUCGGAAAUGGCAUUGAAUACUAUUCCGCUUGAGGGUCGGAGGGAAGACUGGAAUUCUCGGUGUAGCAGUGAAAUGCGUAGAUAUCGAGAGGAACACCAGUGGCGAAGGCGAGUCUCUGGACGACUCCUGACACUGAGGCACGAAAGCUGGGGGAGCAAACAGGAUUAGAUACCCUGGUAGUCCUAGCUGUAAACGGUGCACGUUUGCUGUAAGAGGAAUCGACCCCUUUUGUGGCGAAGCUAACGCGUUAAACGUGCCGCCUGGGGAGUACGGUCGCAAGAUUAAAACUC
rnacentral:rRNA from 1 species